GACGAACGCUGGCGGCGUGCUUAACACAUGCAAGUCGAGCGGAGCGGCGAACGGGUGAGUAACGCGUGAGUAACUGCCCCCCUCCCUGGGAUAACAGUUGGAAACUGCUGAUAAUACCGGAUAGUGGGGGAUGACUCGCGUCCAAUCAGCUUGUUGGUGGGGUAGUGGCCUACCACGGCGACGCAGGGUAGCCGGCCUGAGAGGGCGAACGGCGUCAUUGGGCUUGGAGACGGGCCAAACUCCGACGGGAGGCAGCAGUGGUGAAUAUUGCACAAUGUGGGAAACCCUGAUGCAGCAACGCGCGUGCGGGAUGACGGCCUUCGGGUUGUAAACCGCUUUCAGCCAUGACGCGGUAGUGGCAGAAGAAGCACCGGCUAACUACGUGCCAGCAGCCGCGGUAAUAA
rnacentral:rRNA from 1 species